GGACAGAGCUGCAGACAGACGGGGAGGCAGAAAGGACAGACUGUUCAGACCUGAAGGAGUUCACAGGAAGAUGAGGAUGUAAAGCUGCAGAGGACAAAGACCCACCAGAAGUAACUCAGAGGUUCAGAGAAGAAACAAGAAAGGUGCACCAUGGGAACUGCUCACUUCCUAAAGACCUGAACAUCUUUACCCUCAACUUUAUCCGAACCCUCCAGUAUGUCGACUAGAUCUCCCCCAGGAAAGAGGGGUGGGGUGUCGGGGCUGCUGAAGCUCCCUCUGCUCCUGGGACUAAUGAUGUCCAUGAAGAUGGUGGUGGAGGCGCAGACACGCAGCGAGGAGAACCAGGAGCUCAUGGAGGAGGAUGACCCCUUCAGCGCUGAGAUGCUGGAAACGUCGUCCUCAGAAGUGUCCAGACUUUCUCCACUCAACUCUUGGCUGCUCUUCAGAAAAAACUCCAACAAAGGAGAAAACCGGAGAACCAAAGGCCCCAAGAGAACCUCCAAGCAUGGCCUUCCAGGACCUCCAGGCCCUCCAGGACCUCAGGGACCCCCGGGGCUACCUGCUCCCCUCCUGCCACAGCAGCAGGAGCUCAUUCAGGAGCUGCAGCUCAAGCUGAGAGACAUGUUGGGUGGGGAGUGUUUGCAGUGUGACCGUCCUCCUCGGGUCUCCACCUCCUUCUCCAGUCGCCUCCUGCAGCCGCUCACUGUCCCACGCCGCAGCCUGCAGGAGCUGCAGCCCUUCAGCAGACCGUCAAACUCUGAGCAGAACCUCCAAAGGGGUCCGAGCUUCGACAGCAGCACCGGCCGAUACACGGCGCCCGUGUCCGGCUUCUACCAGCUGACUGCCAGCAUCCUCAUAGCUGUUGGAGAUUACUGGGAUUCACGAAGGAACGACUGGAAUCUGUCGGAGAAUAACAUCCAUGUGUGGAAACGUGCCGAUGGAAGAAUGGGAUCUCAUAGCAGGAAAGUGUUUUAGAGCCAGCAAAGUCACUAGCAUCUGUCCACCAGAAACACCAGAAUUUACCCAAUUGCAUUUCAAAAGAAGUUCAUCAGAUUUUUUUUUUUUUUUUUUCCUUUAGCAUUUUCAUUAGCAUGUACAGUUGCAAUCUUUAUCUUUCAUCUUGGACUCGCUGUGGAGCUAAAUCUUCAGAAAUUGUUAAAUUCUGUUUAGGUUUUUGGCAACAACAUUAGCAUUGCGUUUGAAUCUUAACUGUCUUUUGAUUUUACUUACUUUUAAGCAUCAAAAUUAGAAUUUCUUGUCAUUAUUCUAAUUUUUUAACCUCACUAUUACUGAAUUUUCUGAAUUAUUUUAGCGUAUUUGUCCCGUAAUCAUCCCUUCAUUCCCUUCAUGGUGCAAACAAAGACAGUUCCUUCACAUCGCUGUGGUUCUGUUUCAGAGUCGGGGGACCGUCUGCAGGUCCGGCUCAGAGACAGCGUGAGAGCAGCAAUCUGCAUCGAGUCUCUGUGUAAAAGCAACCUCUCUGUAGAGUCAGUAACGGCUGUCGCUGCUGCUGGAGGAACAUUCAGCGUCUUACUGACAGGAACCC